rnacentral:rRNA from 1 species
AGCGAACGCUGGCGGCAGGCCUAACACAUGCAAGUCGAACGAAGUCUUCGGACUUAGUGGCGGACGGGUGAGUAACACGUGGGAACGUGCCCUUUGGUACGGAAUAACUCAGGGAAACUUGAGCUAAUACCGUAUGUGCCCUUCGGGGGAAAGAUUUAUCGCCAUUGGAGCGGCCCGCGUCUGAUUAGCUAGUUGGUGAGGUAAAGGCUCACCAAGGCGACGAUCAGCAGCUGGUCUGAGAGGAUGAUCAGCCACAUUGGGACUGAGACACGGCCCAAACUCCUACGGGAGGCAGCAGUGGGGAAUCUUGCGCAAUGGGCGAAAGCCUGACGCAGCCAUGCCGCGUGAAUGAUGAAGGUCUUAGGAUUGUAAAAUUCUUUCACCGGGGACGAUAAUGACGGUACCCGGAGAAGAAGCCCCGGCUAACUUCGUGCCAGCAGCCGCAGUAA